rnacentral:rRNA from 1 species
AGAGGUCCCAAGCGUUGUUCGGAUUCACUGGGCGUAAAGGGUGCGUAGGUGGUGAGGUAAGUCGGAUGUGAAAUAUCCGAGCUCAACUCGGAAAUGGCAUUGGAAACUACCUUGCUCGAGGGUUGGAGGGGGGACUGGAAUGCUUGGUGUAGCAGUGAAAUGCGUAGAUAUCAAGCGGAACACCAGUGGCGAAGGCGAGUCCCUGGACAACUCCUGACACUGAGGCACGAAAGCUAGGGGAGCAAACAGGAUUAGAUACCCUGGUAGUCCUAGCCGUAAACGGUGCACGUUUGCUGUAAAAGGAAUCGACCCCUUUUGUGGCGUAGCCAACGCGUUAAACGUGCCGCCUGGGAAGUACGGUCGCAAGAUUA